rnacentral:rRNA from 1 species
CAACAGCUCAAAUUUGAAAUCUGGCCCUCGGGUCCGAGUUGUAAUUUGUAGAGGAUGCUUUUGGCGCGGUGCCUUCCGAGUUCCCUGGAACGGGACGCCUUAGAGGGUGAGAGCCCCGUACGGUUGGACACCAAGCCUCUGUAAAGCUCCUUCGACGAGUCGAGUAGUUUGGGAAUGCUGCUCUAAAUGGGAGGUAAAUUUCUUCUAAAGCUAAAUAUUGGCCAGAGACCGAUAGCGCACAAGUAGAGUGAUCGAAAGAUGAAAAGCACUUUGAAAAGAGGGUUAAAUAGCACGUGAAAUUGUUGAAAGGGAAGCGUUUGCGACCAGACCUUUUCCUAGCGGAUCAUCCGGUGUUCUCACCGGUGCACUUCGCUAGGUUUAGGCCAGCAUCGGUUUUUAUAGGGGGAUAAAAGCUCUGGGAACGUAGCUCCUCCGGGAGUGUUAUAGCCCUCUGCAUAAUACCUUUAUAGGGACCGAGGACCGCGCUUUUAGCAAGGAUGCUGGCGUAAUGGUCGUCAACGACCCGUCUUGAAACACGGACCAAGGAGUCGAACAUUUGUGCGAGUGUUUGGGUGUUAAACCCUCACGCGUAAUGAAAGUGAACGGAGGUGAGAGCCCUUACGGGUGCAUCAUCGACCGAUCCUGAUGUCUUCGGAUGGAUUUGAGUAAGAGCAUAACUGUUCGGACCCGAAAGAUGGUGAACUAUGCGUGGAUAGGGUGAAGCCAGAGGAAACUCUGGUGGAGGCUCGCAGCGGUUCUGACGUGCAAAUCGAUCGUCAAAUCUGCGCAUGG